AUUAUUUCACAAUGCAUUUUCACAACGCAGACUUUCUCUCUCUAUAUUUGUUAUGAAAGCUUGAAUCUGGAGCAUGGGAACCUCUCGAAUUCUGCAAAAGCAACAAAUAAAUAGUUUGUGUAUAUUCCAGAUUUAUAGGAAAAAUAGAUAAAAGUAGCUAAUAUUUAUUUAUGAAUUUUCUCAGCAGAUCAAUGGAGCACGGAAGAUCUGCAAAAGCCUCAAUCUUUCAAUGGAGCAUGGAAGAUCUACAAAAGACACAAAAAAAUUGUUUUAGAGUAUAUUCAAGAUUUACAGCAAGUAUGUAUAAAGAAGAAGAAAUGGUAUAUUCAAGAUUUACAGCAAGUAGGCAUCAAGAAGAAGAAUUACAUAUCACCCCUUAAAGGGUUUCCUCAUGUUAAUUUUUCAGUGAAAAAAUAAAGCAAUACAUUAUAAUCACAUGCAAAUACAUAUAUACAUUUCGAUAUUUCGAUAGGUUUCAAAUCCAAGAAUGUAUUGUAUAUUAUCUUUCAUUUUCAUUAGUUUUUCAUUUAUAUAUUAUUGAAAUAGUUUCAUUAUAUAUAUUUAUUUUCCUUCUAGCAUGCGUUCCUAUCUGUGCCAUAACUUUUCAUUUA